UUGGCUAUCAUAGUUUAUGUUUAUGGCCUCUUAAUCACCGGAAAUAAGGAGGAGUACAUCAUUGCAGUUAAGCAGUAUCUCCAUAAAACUUUCGCUAUUAGAGAUCUGGGAUAUGUCAAAUACUUCUUAGGCAUUGAGAUUAUCAAGUCAGAAGCUGGGAUAUUCAUUAAUCAAAGAAAAUAUACUAUGGACAUUUUAUAUGAUACUGGGAUGAUGCAAGCCAAACCUAGUUCAGUACCAUUCCCUAAAGGUACAAAGCUAACAGAUGAAGGGAGCAAAUUUUUAGAUAAACCUUAUCAGUACCGAAGACUAGUAGGCAAGCUACUCUACCUCAGCAUGACCAGACCAGACAUUACCUAUGUUGCUCAACAACUAAGUCAAUACAUGCAACAACCCAGAACAAAUCAUUGGCGUGCAGCCUUAUAUGUAUUAAGAUACCUCAAAGGAUGUCUAGAAAAGGGUCUGUUCUUCCCAGCAAAAUCAGACGUCCAAUUAAAGGCACUUUGGGAUGCUGAUUGAGCCGCAUGCACUAUUUCCAGAAAAUCUAUUAGCAGGUUUUGUGUCUCUUAGGCUCCUCUCUCAUUUCCUAGAAAGCAAAGAAACAGAACACCGUCAGUUGCUCCUUGCUCCUCCGCUGAAGUAGAAUACCGAAGCAUGGCAUCUACUAUUUGCGAACUAAAGUGGAUCACUUACUUCCUCAAAGAUUUUCAGAUUGCAGCUCCCUUACCCAUUUUGUUACUUUGCGACAACAAGGUUGCACAACAUAUAGCGGCUAAUCCCGUCUUCCACAAAUACACCAAGCACCUCGACAUCAACUGCCACAUUGUACGUGACCAACUCAAAGCUGGUUUUUUUUCAUUUAGUUCAUAUGCCUUCUCGAUUGCAACUCACCGACAUCUUCACUAAAGCCUUAAGUGCUCCUAUUUCAUCAAUUGCUCUCCAAGAUGGGACUUUUUCAUUUCAAUCCGUCUCCAUCCUGCAAGGGGGCUGAAGGAAAAACACAAUCCGUUUUGACAAAGUAGGAUCAAAUUAACAAUAAAACGGUGCGCAUAGGAAAAAAAACUCAGAGAAAUAAAACAAGGCCUUCAUCCUUAAGCCCAUUAAUAUUAGCCCAACGUUCACCAACAGCCCAUUACCCCAUGUGAGCAAGAAUUAGAGCAAAGACCAGUGUUGUAAUGUAUUUCUGUUGUAACGUUUUCUUUACAUUUUUUUCUUCUUCUAGAGUUUUCCUCCAGUUGUAUCAUCAUCUAGAAUAUUCUUCCUGUGUAUAAAUUAUGUACAAUAGAAAUG
rnacentral:lncRNA from 1 species